rnacentral:rRNA from 1 species
GGGUGCCUACGGGGGGCAGCAGUAGGGAAUAUUGCUCAAUGGGGGAAACCCUGAAGCAGCAACGCCGCGUGGAGGAUGAAGGUUUUAGGAUUGUAAACUCCUUUUGUUAGAGAAGAUUAUGACGGUGUCUAACGAAUAAGCACCGGCUAACUCCGCGCCAGCAGCCGCGGUAAUACGGAGGGUGCAAGCGUUACUCGGAAUCACUGGGCGUAAAGAGUGCGUAGGCGGGGGAAUAAGUCAGAUGUGAAAUCCUGUAGCUUAACUACAGAAAUGCAUUUGAAACUGUUACUCUUGAGUGUGGGUGG